rnacentral:rRNA from 1 species
GACGAACGCUGGCGGCGUGCUUAACACAUGCAAGUCGAGCGAGAAACUUCGGUUUCUAGCGGCGGACGGGUGAGUAACACGUGGGCAACCUGCCUCACAAUGGGGGAUAGCCUUCCGAAAGGAAGAUUAAUACCGCAUAACACAAAGGAAACGCAUGUUUCUUUUGCCAAAGAAUUUCGUUGUGAGAUGGGCCCGCGGCGCAUUAGCUUGUUGGUGAGGUAACGGCUCACUAAGGCGACGAUGCGUAGCCGACCUGAGAGGGUGAUCGGCCACAUUGGAUCUGAGACACGGUCCAGACUCCUACGGGAGGCAGCAGUGGGGAAUAUUGCACAAUGGAGGAAACUCUGAUGCAGCAACGCCGCGUGAGUGAUGAAGGUCUUCGGGUUGUAAAGCUCUGUCUUCUGGGACGAUAAUGACGGUACCAGAGGAGGAAGCCACGGCUAACUACGUGCCAGCAGCCGCCGUAA